rnacentral:lncRNA from 1 species
UAAUUCCCCCAAUCUCAAUCUCUCUCUCUCUCUCUCUCUCUCUCUCUCAAAACCUAAAACUGACUAUGCCAAUUCACGAUGUCAGCCCUAGAUCGACGAAGAUUCACUGAUGAUUCCUCAAUCGUUCCUCCACAUCACCGAAGAUUCACCAAUUCUUCUGCAUAAAACCUAGAUCGACGACUCCUUAAUCGUUCCUCUAACCAAUUUCUGUCACACUUUUGCUGGUAAUCGAAGUUGUUCUUGAUUUCAUGUCUAUCAUGGCACGUAGGCAGAUGUCGUGGUUUAGUGGCAGGAGUCGGCAGAGGGCAAGGUGCGGUCUCUUAUUCUCCCUAAUUUUGCCCUAAUUUCUUCCAAUUUUCUGCUCGUAAUUACUACAUCUUACGAUAUGUAGACAGUAGUAGACCUAAAUCACUGUUUUCUUCAUGACUUCAUGUUUGUUCAUAACUCGAUCUAAACGGUUUAGGUUAACCUAACUGAUUUGUUUAUCGAUCGUGUGUUCGAUUUCGAUAUGAUAACUGUUUAUAUGGAUUUUACAGUUAUUUUAUGCUCUAGAAACUGUAAACAUAUGUUGUUCGAGUGAGGAUUUAAUUUAAUUUCUUCCUUUUGUUAAACAUUUCUGAUGAUUAUAUGUCACUACCAAAACUUGGCAACCAGUUCGAUUCUCCCGUCCCGUUCGUCAUCUUUCUAGGGUUCCAACAUGAGCAGAUCAGGUCAACCUCCAGAUCUUAAAAA